UACGAAGGGGGCUAGCGUUGCUCGGAAUCACUGGGCGUAAAGCGCACGUAGGCGGAUCUUUAAGUCAGGGGUGAAAUCCUGGAGCUCAACUCCGAAACUGCAUUCGAUACUGCCGUGCUUGAGGACUGGAGAGGAGACUGGAAUUUACGGUGUAGCGGUGAAAUGCGUAGAUAUCGUAAGGAAGACCAGUGGCGAAGGCGGGUCUCUGGACAGUUCCUGACGCUGAGGCACGAAGGCCAGGGGAGCAAACGGG
rnacentral:rRNA from 1 species